rnacentral:rRNA from 1 species
AUGCCCCUCAUCGACAAGCUACUACGCAAGCUCGCCACUUGGAAGGCCGCGCUUCUCUCAUGCGACGAACGCCUGGCCCUGAUCCGGCAGGUGUUGUCUGCUAUGCCCGUGCAUAUCCUCCUCGCCAUGGCGCUCUCUCCACCAAUCCUCAAGAAGGCCAAUCGAAUCAUCAGAGAUUUUCUUUGGCAUGGCCGAAAGGACGCUCGCGUAGGCUCUUGCCUUGUCAGUUGGGCGCGUGUUUGUCGCCAGCUGGAGCUUGGUGGCCUUAGCAUCUGAGACCUCCACCGCGUUGGGAUCUCCCUCCGAGUUCGAUGGCUAUGGCUGCAGGCCACUGAUCGGGCGCGCCCUUGGGCUCAUCUUCCGCUACCUCCCGAUCCAGAGGUGUUGCAGUUCUUCCGGGCAUCUACGACUUGGACCGUGGGCGACGGCACCUCCUGCAAAUUUUGA